AGAGUUUGAUCCUGGCUCAGAUUGAACGCUAGCGGGAUGCUUUACACAUGCAAGUCGAACGGCAGCACGAAGAGCUUGCUCUUUGGUGGCGAGUGGCGAACGGGUGAGUAAUGUAUCGGAACGUGCCCAGUAGCGGGGGAUAACUACGCGAAAGCGUGGCUAAUACCGCAUACGCCCUACGGGGGAAAGGGGGGGAUCGCAAGACCUCUCACUAUUGGAGCGGCCGAUAUCGGAUUAGCUGGUUGGUGGGGUAAAGGCCUACCAAGGCGACGAUCCGUAGCUGGUUUGAGAGGACGACCAGCCACACUGGGACUGAGACACGGCCCAGACUCCUACGGGAGGCAGCAGUGGGGAAUUUUGGACAAUGGGGGCAACCCUGAUCCAGCCAUCCCGCGUGUGCGAUGAAGGCCUUCGGGUUGUAAAGCACUUUUGGCAGGGAAGAAACGGCGCGGGCUAAUAACCUGUGCUAAUGACGGUACCUGCAGAAUAAGCACCGGCUAACUACGUGCCAGUAGCCGCGGUAAUACGUAGGGUGCAAGCGUUAAUCGGAAUUACUGGGCGUAAAGCGUGCGCAGGCGGUUCGGAAAGAAAGGUGUGAAAUCCCAGGGCUUAACCUUGGAACUGCACUUUUAACU
rnacentral:rRNA from 1 species